CAGCUGUGACGCCCUGUGGGGUCAGGAGUGGGUGUGGCCUCUCUCUCUCUCUCCCCCUGGUAGAUCAAGAGCUGAUUGUGGUAACUGAAAGCACCCGGGCCCUGCGUAACCUUGUCCCGUCAUUCUGAGACCUGGUCACACCUCCCUGCGGCCGGCUCCCCGGUUUCUCCUUUAGUUUGGUUUUGGACUCUUGCUUUGUGCAUGGUGCGUCUCCCUUUUGAGCAAAGUCACAACACAAGUUAAUCAAUAAUAAAAAGACUCGUCAGUUGCAGCCCUGAAACAAAGAAAAGCAGAAAAUCAUCUGAGACAGCAGAUAAGUUCACACACUCCCACACUUACACUACUUUGAGUGCGUAAGUGUGCUCACGCUGAGAAUUACGGCGGCAGAACGGUGGACACUUCUCACCCUUAACGACCGCCAUUUUAGUUUAGACCAACAGCACGGGAGAAGCGGGAAGCAGCAGAGAGAGAGGCCGACAACAGAACGGCUUUUACAGUUGAGGAGCUCGCGCCAAGCCGUGGGAGGAGCUAGCGAGGCCGGCCAGCCCUCUGUUCCGACAGUCACACAGACCGCCGCAGCCAGCUCAGAGAGUCGGGUCUGGCUGCGGCCUCCCGUCAGUCCAGAACGCAGCUGCAGACGAGUCCAGCAGCAGCUGAAA